AACGAACGCUGGCGGCAUGCCUAACACAUGCAAGUCGAACGAGACCUUCGGGUCUAGUGGCGCACGGGUGCGUAACACGUGGGAAUUUGCCUCGGGGUAUGGAAUAACUCAGGGAAACUUGAGCUAAUACCAUAUACGACCUUACGGUGAAAGCGGGGGAUCGCAAGACCUCGCGCGGAUGGAUAAGCCGAUGUCGGAUUAGCUAGUUGGCGGGGUAAAGGCCCACCAAGGCGACGAUCCGUAGCUGGUCUGAGAGGAUGAUCAGCCACACUGGGACUGAGACACGGCCCAGACUCCUACGGGAGGCAGCAGUGGGGGAAUAAUU
rnacentral:rRNA from 1 species